AUGCUUCUCCUUGACGUACCGGCUCCAGCCCUUGGUGAGCACGUAGCUCUGGCUGCUCGUCCAGUACGAGUACCGGAACCGCCACGGCUUGCCGGCCUCGUCGUCAAAGGACAGGAGCAGGCCCUUCUCCCCAGAGUCGCCGCCAAGAGGGAAGCACCUCUCGGCGUGCUGCUUGGGGAUCACCAGCCUGUUGAGCUUGCCUACAUCGCUGGGCGUCAGGGCCUUCUCAAAUAG
rnacentral:rRNA from 1 species